UCGUCAUAUUGCUUUGCAUGAUCAUAUAGAGCUGGCAUGGUAUUUGUGGCAACGCCACCUUCCAUCAUGUUUUGAUACAUGUCACACUAGAUCAUUGCACAUCCUAGUACACUGCCAGAAGCAUUCUCAGAGAGUCACAUCUUCCUAUCAGUUCUCCAUAUUGAGUUGUAAGUAAAUAAAAGUGUGAUGAUCAUCCUUUUUAGAGCAUUGCCCAAGUGAGGAAAGGGUGACGAAGACUAUGAUUCCCCCACAAGUCGGGAUGAGACUCCGAAAGAAAAAUAAAUAAAAUGGGGGAGCCCAAAUGAGCCCACCAUAAAACAAUUAUG
rnacentral:lncRNA from 1 species